rnacentral:rRNA from 1 species
GAUGAACGCUGGCGGCGUGCCUAAUACAUGCAAGUCGAGCGAACAGACGAGGGGCUUGCUCCUCUGACGUUAGCGGCGGACGGGUGAGUAACACGUGGAUAACCUACCUAUAAGACUGGGAUAACUUCGGGAAACCGGAGCUAAUACCGGAUAAUAUAUUGAACCGCAUGGUUCAAUAGUGAAAGACGGUUUUGCUGUCACUUAUAGAUGGAUCCGCGCCGCAUUAGCUAGUUGGUAAGGUAACGGCUUACCAAGGCAACGAUGCGUAGCCGACCUGAAAGGGUGAUCGGCCACACUGGAACUGAGACACGGUCCAGACUCCUACGGGAGGCAGCAGUAGGGAAUCUUCCGCAAUGGGCGAAAGCCUGACGGAGCAACGCCGCGUGAGUGAUGAAGGUCUUCGGAUCGUAAAACUCUGUUAUUAGGGAAGAACAAAUGUGUAAGUAACUAUGCACGUCUUGACGGUACCUAAUCAGAAAGCCACGGCUAACUACGUG